rnacentral:rRNA from 1 species
CAGCAGCCGCGGUAAUACAGAGGGUGCAAGCGUUAAUCGGAAUUACUGGGCGUAAAGCGUGCGUAGACGGUUACAUAAGUCGGGUGUGAAAGCCCCGGGCUCAACCUGGGAAUUGCAUUCGAGACUGCGUAGCUAGGGUGCGGAAGAGGGAAGCGGAAUUUCCGGUGUAGCGGUGAAAUGCGUAGAUAUCGGAAGGAACACCAGUGGCGAAAGCGGCUUCCUGGUCCAGCACCGACGUUCAGGCACGAAAGCGUGGGGAGCAAACAGGAUUAGAUACCCUGGUAGUCCACGCCAUAAACGAUGAGAACUAGACGUUGAAGGGGUAAGCCCUCCAGUGUCGUAGCUAACGCGCUAAGUUCUCCGCCUGGGGAGUACGGCCGCAAGGUUGAAACUCAAAGAAAUUGACGG